rnacentral:rRNA from 1 species
UACGGAGGAUGCAAGCGUUAUCCGGAAUGAUUGGGCGUAAAGCGUCCGCAGGUGGCUGUGUAAGUCUGCUGUCAAAGAGCAAAGCUCAACUUUGUAAAGGCAGUGGAAACUACACGGCUAGAGUGCGUUCGGGGCAGAAGGAAUUCCUGGUGUAGCGGUGAAAUGCGUAGAGAUCAGGAAGAACACCGGUGGCGAAAGCGUUCUGCUAGACCUGUACUGACACUGAGGGACGAAAGCUAGGGGAGCGAAUGGG